UGCAGGUGGAAUUCCAGCAGCCUUCCUGCG
rnacentral:piRNA from 1 species